rnacentral:rRNA from 1 species
UGCCAGCCGCCGCGGUAAUACAGAGGGUGCAAACGUUGUUCGGAAUCACUGGGCAUAAAGCGCACGUAGGCGGUCAUGUAAGUGUGGAGUGAAAGCCCACGGCUCACCCGUGGAACUGCUUCGCAUACUGCAUGACUCGAGGACGGUAGGGGAGAGCGGAACUCUUGGAGGAGCGGUGAAAUGCGUAGAUAUCAAGAGGAACACCAAUGGCGAAGGCAGCUCUCUGGUCCGUUUCUGACGCUGAGGUGCGAAAGCUAGGGUAGCGAACGGGAUUAGAUA